UGGCGGACGUGGUUAUGACGUCACUACAGGUCCCUUCUCGGGCCGCAGGGUGGGGCGCGGCGCGGCGCGGCAAAGUCCGGCUCCAUUCUCUUGGGGCGUGGCUUCUGACAUUCUGGCCACGCCCCUACGGAGGGCCGCUGAGAAAAGUCUUCGUGGAAGGUUUAAUCUUGGCGGAAGAAGAGCAAAUAUUGUCAUAUGUUUUUCCUGGCAUUUUACGGAUCGCUGCACGCUCUCCUCGAGCCUGAUCGGAUCCUCCCCGAUUAGGUUUGAUGUUUCUAGCGAGGGGACCCAUGUAAUCCUUGUCCAGAUGGGAAAAAAGGUUUGAAGACAAGCAAGACUGGUCCAAAACCAUGUUGGAGGCAAGGCCGGAUGGCUUGAGUCAGGGAAUUGGAGCGGAGUUAACGCUAGCUCUUGAAAUCUCGGAAAGAAAUAACACGGAGACACAGAAUUCGGAUAAAAUAAUAAAAUUUCUUCUGGAGAGUGAGGGGGAAUGCCAGAAACAGGUCUGGUACCACAGAGAAUGUGCGUCCUGUCAGCCCAACCCUGUCCCUGAGACAUUUUACACAGGUUAAGAGAGCAUGUUGGAAGUGAAGGCAGGGACUUUGGCCUGUGGGGAUGCGGAAAGGAGGAGACUCAAGUCUGGAGCACCCACUGUGUGCCCAGUACCGAACAUACUUCAUUGCAGUUCACCCUCAGAGCAGUCUACAAGGCACAGAUCAUUAUUCAUCAUCCCCAGUUAAAGGUUAUGAAAUGAGAGUUCCAGGAGGCAAGGAAACUCAUCCGAGGUUACAGAAAUGAAGCACAGCUGGAUUUGAACUCUGGGCUCUCUGGGUCCAACCCCUGUUCUUUCUGCUGUACCAGCUUCCUCCCAGAGAGCAAGGGGAUGGAAGCUGAGCCCCAGGUAAAUAUCGUGCCAGCCACCGCGGUUAUACGAUUAACCCAAAUUAAUAAAACCCGGCGUAAAGGGUGUUUAGGGAAAA